rnacentral:rRNA from 1 species
GACGAACGCUGGCGGCGUGCUUAACACAUGCAAGUCGAACGGAAAGGCCCUGCUUUUGUGGGGUGCUCGAGUGGCGAACGGGUGAGUAACACGUGAGUAACCUGCCCUUGACUUUGGGAUAACUUCAGGAAACUGGGGCUAAUACCGGAUAGGAGCUCCUGCUGCAUGGUGGGGGUUGGAAAGUUUCGGCGGUUGGGGAUGGACUCGCGGCUUAUCAGCUUGUUGGUGGGGUAGUGGCUUACCAAGGCUUUGACGGGUAGCCGGCCUGAGAGGGUGACCGGCAACAAUGGGACUGAGAUACGGCCCAGACUCCUACGGGAGGCAGCAGUGGGGAAUAUUGCACAAUGGGCGGAAGCCUGAUGCAGCAACGCCGCGUGCGGGAUGACGGCCUUCGGGUUGUAAACCGCUUUCGCCUGUGACGAAGCGUGAGUGACGGUAAUGGGUAAAGAAGCACCGGCUAACUACGUG